GUACAGUCUUUACUUUGGCACUAAAGAUAAAAUAUUGAGUGUGUAUAACAAAUUUGUUGUAAAAAAUAGGGAAUAAACGAUAUAACCUAUUUAUUGACUUGGUUUUAAGGUGAUCCUGUGCCACAACCACUGCGCAGAACUAAGUAAAAAAAAAAAGAGGGGACCGCUGUAGACUUAUCUAAUGGACCGAUUGUUUUGAAAUUUAAAUGGACUUAUCAGUAUGUUACGUAAAAGAUGCUUUUAUAAAUUUUCAAAGAGAUUGGAUAAUUACAGCCUGAGUAAUAUGUAAAUGUAUUGGCAGUUUUUACUCGAUAGGCUAUAUUUUCAACAAUGUAUAAUUUGAACAUGUUUUUACCAACAAAUAAAAAACAAUUUUAUGUUAGUUUUAAUAUUACAGUGAAUUGGCCUAUUAUCAUACUUAAAGAUAAAAAUAAUGUCUAUGUACAUUAUUUUUGUCUCCUAUAUUUUAAGUUUUUAGUACGAUAUGGACAUGUGAAUUAUUAUAUCAGGUGUUUUAUUUAAGUGGGUACACACUCAUUAUCUCUGAAAGUAUUAAUUUUUUCUGGAAUUUGUUUUCCAGAAUAUUUAAGAAACAAGUUGCUCUGCAAUUUUAUAUUUAUGUUACUUUUGAGAGUAAAACCACUACCUACUUUUGAUUUUCAAACAGCAACCUAUACUAAAAAGUCCAUUAAUAGAUGAAAUAUUAAAUAAAAUAAAUUUUAGUGUUGACACUUGAUUUUCGUCAAUCCGUAGACAAGAUAAUCCACUUUUAAAUUUGGGUUGGAGGAGAAUAGUGGAUUAUUAUUAGUUUGGUGGUACAGUCUGUGGUGUGUUAACAAUGUACCAUUACCAAUGUACAAACAUAUCUUAUCUUUAAGUUUGAUAAUAGGUCAAUCCGCUCUAAUGUUAAAACUAACAGCACGAAAUCAGUUUUAAGAACAAAAAAAAAUCAUUAGAAUUUUUAACAUUGCUUUAUAACAUAAACAUUAUUUGAUCUUAUAUAGUUG